rnacentral:rRNA from 1 species
AGAUUGAACGCUGGCGGCAUGCCUUACACAUGCAAGUCGAACGGCAGCACGGGAGCAAUCCUGGUGGCGAGUGGCGAACGGGUGAGUAAUACAUCGGAACGUGCCCAAUCGUGGGGGAUAACGCAGCGAAAGCUGUGCUAAUACCGCAUAAGGUCUACGGAUGAAAGCAGGGGAUCGCAAGACCUUGCGCGAAUGGAGCGGCCGAGUGGCAGAUUAGGUAGUUGGUGAGGUAAAGGCUCACCAAGCCUUCGAUCUGUAGCUGGUCUGAGAGGACGACCAGCCACACUGGGACUGAGACACGCCAGACUCGUACGGG